rnacentral:rRNA from 1 species
CUCUUGAGAGCGGCGGACGGGUGAGUAAUGCCUAGGAAUCUGCCUGGUAGUGGGGGAUAACGUUCGGAAACGGACGCUAAUACCGCAUACGUCCUACGGGAGAAAGCAGGGGACCUUCGGGCCUUGCGCUAUCAGAUGAGCCUAGGUCGGAUUAGCUAGUUGGUGAGGUAAUGGCUCACCAAGGCGACGAUCCGUAACUGGUCUGAGAGGAUGAUCAGUCACACUGGAACUGAGACACGGUCCAGACUCCUACGGGAGGCAGCAGUGGGGAAUAUUGGACAAUGGGCGAAAGCCUGAUCCAGCCAUGCCGCGUGUGUGAAGAAGGUCUUCGGAUUGUAAAGCACUUUAAGUUGGGAGGAAGGGCAGUUACCUAAUACGUGAUUGUUUUGACGUUACCGACAGAAUAAGCACCGGCUAACUCUGUGCCAGCAGCCGCGGUAAUACAGAGGGUGCAAGCGUUAAUCGGAAUUACUGGGCGUAAAGCGCGCGUAGGUGGUUAGUUAAGUUGGAUGUGAAAUCCCCGGGCUCAACCUGGGAACUGCAUUCAAAACUGACUGACUAGAGUAUGGUAGAGGGUGGUGGAAUUUCCUGUGUAGCGGUGAAAUGCGUAGAUAUAGGAAGGAACACCAGUGGCGAGGCGACCACCUGGA